rnacentral:misc_RNA from 1 species
ACGAGUUAGGGUCUUCUAGGCCCGACCUCCCAACCCCAUGUUUAUUGAACCUCUGUUGCUUCGGCGGACCCGUCUCACGACCGCCGGAGGAUUGCCGUGAGGCGUCCUCUGGCCCGCGUCCGUCGAUAGCCCAACCAUUUAAACCCUGAAUAAAUCGUGUCUUGUGUCUGAGUCUAUGAUUAAAUCAAAAACA